GAUGAAGAACGCAGCGAAAUGCGAUAAGUAAUAUGAAUUGCAGAUUUUCGUGAAUCAUCGAAUCUUUGAACACACAUUGCGCCCUUUGGUAUUCCAAAGGGCAUGCCUGUUUGAGCGUCAUUUCUCUCUCAAAUCUUCGGAUUUGGUUUUGAGUGAUACUCUUAGUCAGACUAGGCGUUUGCUUGAAAUGUAUUGGCAUGAGUGGUACUAGAUAGUGCUAAACUGUUUCAAUGUAUUAGGUUUAUCCAACUCGUUGACCAGUGAAGUAUUUGUUUAUUACACAGGCUCGGCCUUACAACAACAAACAAAGUUUGACCUCAAAUCAGGUAGGACUACCCGCUGAACUUAAGCAUAUCAAUAAGCGGAGGA
rnacentral:misc_RNA from 1 species